UGUUGGUUGGUUGGCUGGUUGGUGUUCUACACGAAGGCACCUUCUAGCGGGUCUGUUCAAACAUGGUCCAUGACUUUUAGGUAGAAGCGAGGGGAUUGUCUUAAUGGUAGCGCGGAUAGAGUUUUAUUGGAAUGAUUUCAUCAAAUUUUCGCCAUGUUGCAAUUGUUGAUGACAAGCAGCGAAUGCUGUGGGCCAGUUCUCUUGAUCAUCCUCCAAGGCCUUGUCUUUUGCGGACUCUUUGAGAUGGAUGAAUUCUUGAUUGAAAUCCUGUGGCGAAAUUCCUACGAAUUCCAUCAACACGUCCUGCUCCGUAGGCAUCCUAGACGCAACAUAACUUCUUGGAAACGUAUCCACCCGUUUUUUCGCGAUCUACUGUUCCUAGUAUGAUUCGCGAUAAGUAUCCCCAAAAAUAAACCCCCCCCCACGGUAAGCUUCUUCCAUUCGGUUGUGCGGAUUAUUGCGGCAGCCUGCUUUCGCACCUGAGCAACGGCAAAGAUUAUGGAAUUUAUGGACCAUCGCUAGCGCUAAGGCUCGGUUCCCGAUUUAUGGUUGCCGAUAGGAGUAGCUGUGCGCUAUGCGCAAGGUUGAUCAACUCAAGCGGGGCCCCCUUAUCUUUGGGGCUUUGGUGUCUUUGCUUCACUCCUUGCAUUUACCGUAGCCGUCUUGCCAGGACGGGAGCGCGUUGCACAAGCAUCCGGCCAAUGUUUCGUACAGCUCGGGGUCCGAUAAGCUCCCUUCCAACAAAGAAGAAGAGAACCUCCAAAGUCUCCCCAGCUAUUUCCACAAAAAUGUGUACCUGUGCGUAGUUGCGCAAUGCCAUGACUGUACCCGAUUUGUAAUGUGGUGGACUUUCUUCUUAUUCCUUACCGUAAGUGGUCAUCCGCAGCAAGUAAAAACCCCGCGCGGAUAAUAUCCCAACGAAUGUUCUUGUCGCUGUCCAACACGAUGUUCCUGAUGUAAUCCGGACGUUGCAGGACAAUGCCACUAGCUUGAUGUGGUUUUCUUUGUGUGUGUGUGUGUGUGUGUGUGUUAGAUAGGAGGCAGAAUGUAUUAGUAAGCCUCGGUUUGUAAACCUGCAACUCAUGGCGCAACCCUCACACAUCUCACGCAUCGUACGACCGUUUGUCGAUAAAGUCUGCCGAAGCGUUUGAUUUCGCAACGCCAAGCGUUCUAUGCCAAAUAAGCCAGCUUUGCUAAAACUGUCACAAACAGCAAAAGGUGGUGAAGAAUUCGUAUGUUUCAUGCUGUUGCAUCAUAAUCCCCCCCACAAAAAAAAAACCGGACCAUAAAAAAUGGUAUGCUCGCCUCUCUUCGCUUGACUCUUAUCGUGUGAUAGUUUUCGGAAACGGAAUGGGUUUGGUGACUUCGUGUGCGUGUGUACCUUACCCUCCGAGCCGAAUGGGUUAGUGUAUGGUGUGCGUACAAAAGAUCAAAAAAUCCCAUAUCUCCUCGCAAAGGUGAUUCGUGCACGAAGGGGAGGACUAGGUGUGAAGAUCGCCACGCCGGUGGUGAUUGAGGUGACGUUGAGCGAUUUUCCUUAUCGGUGAUUUCACACAGGAUAGAUGGGUUGGCUAGGGAGGGUUGAAGGGUCGGAACCCAGAAGAAAAAGGUGUCCGCAACGGUACACCAACGUGAACGGAUUGGGUACACAACACAAACGCGCUUUGUAUAAAUAUCGAUGGCACGUUCACACCGACACUGAGUCAUUUAUCUGCGGUCUUCGAAUCCCGGUCGCCCGGGUUCUGGUGGUGUAUUGGUACCUUUUUUCGGUACGCAAGUCUCCGGCGCGAUUGAUAACGUAUCGGGAGCCUUCUCUAGCACCACUACUACCACCACGGCCGGAAAACUGCCGUGGGCAGCCGCCAUUUCGCUAUCGAUCAAUGGUCGAUUCGAGUCCCCCCGUUUUGGGACUGGCCCGUGUGAUAAUAACGGUGAUGCGAUCCUGAACCGUCCGUCCGUUGAUAACGCGCGUAACGCCGUCUCUUUCUAUCGGCCGUCGGAACACGAGGGCUUAGCGGCCGUAUCGACUGGUGCCCGUUCGAUAUGAUGGUCGAAUGACACAAGCGACACUCGUUUAUCGGUUAUAAAAGCUGUGUACAUUUUAAAAUGCUCUUAUUACCGUGGAUCGCUUAGUGUGGACAGGACCGGGUGUGUUACCGGUCGGACGACCGAGUUGAGUGGUUUGCUGAUGUGGCGCAAAAUGGGGGUAAAAGUGUUAUCAUUAAGGUGAACCUGAUUGUGUUCUGAAGUUCAAUCUGAAGAUCUGAGUGUGAGGUUUUUCGUUGGAGAAUUAUGGCGAGACUUGAAGAUGAAGUGUGGACAGUGCUUUUGAUAAGACCACAAACACACACACGUUCACGCUACGAUCGUGGGUAUUUUAGAUCGUAGACAGACCACGUUUUCACGAGGCUCUCGGUGAGCAGGUGAGGUACGUAGCCUGUUCGGGCCACAUCUGCUCCCGCCAGAGCCUUCCCGCAUGCUGUCAGAUCUACUUCAUACCCAUGAAUGGUGGCGUGAAAUCAGCCGUGACUCAUCGAAUGCCGUGGUGUCGGUACGCCCGGGUGGCCGCGAACGCGAACAAAAUCACGAUAUGGAAUAAGUGGAGUAGUGGUCUCAUCGCUUAGUUUCAGAAAAGUGAGAUUCUACUUCUCCGACUUAAUUCAUAUCUAGUUGAAUCAACAGAAACUGCACAACAGAAACGCACCGGAAGAGAAAACGAACCCGUGAAGAGCAGAUAACACAUGAGGUCUCAAAGACCCAACGCGUCUAUAAAUAAACGAAACAAAAAAAACUUUGUAACGCGUGUUUCCGGUCGCUUGGUUGACAACGCCCAACCCGAGCGAGCGUAUGUCGACGUAAGCGUUCGGCGCCAGAAAGUAGGCAAUCCGCAGAGCGCGUUCGAUGGUUAGCGAUGAACGCUUGGUUAACGGUUGCUUUGCGUUCAAACAAAUUGUGCUUUGCAGGCGUGUUUUACAAUUUUACAGGCUGUCAAAGGUAAAAACUAAUUGAAUAUUUAAAAAGCAGCGCUUUGUUCAUCGUUUUGCGUGUGAGGCAACAGAUUGCGAUUAGCAAGUGUGUGCCCAGCUCGCCCAAACACGUCUCCUUUGCGUGUCAAACCGACACCUAGCGUAACUUCAAAUGACAUGAUUGAAACAAUUCGCGUACGUGAACGCCGUUAACGAGCUGCAAACCAUUGCAUUAGAGUCAUCCCCGCGAGGCUAGUGCAAGCUGAGUGAGUUAGAAGGAGUUGUUUGUUUAAAAAAUUGUCGUUCGAUUGACCAUUCUCUCCUCGUCCUCGCGCACUCACAGCUCGCGGUGAUGUAAUAAUGAUCUGCCGAACACAAGUUACGGUUUGCCGCGGUGUUCCGAUUACACGACACACAUUGGGUAGCGUGCGAGAUCCCUACCGGCGCUACAGGUAAAGCAAACAUCGGAACGGAUAAGUAAUUAUAGGGGUUUGCACCGCAACGCUUCGUAGUGCGAUAAAAGCUAGCAGCGAUCGUGCCGUCCGUAGCGGACCCGACGGGCAAGGAUAACAUUUUACCAAUAUUUCGUUACGAGAAAAAUAAAAAUAAACAUUCCACCCGGUUUCCUUUUUCCAGUCCUUCCAGAGAGAACCCUCCAGCAGAGAUUAAUAACUCAGUUUUUAUGGGUUCAAGGAUCAUCGCGGCAGAGAAAAGUUGAUCAUAAAGGGGUUAGUUGGACUGAAACAAGGAUGGUUCGGGAAAAUAGGCGCAAAAGGACGCACCAGCCAGCAGUUCGUUUGAUCGCUUUCCAAUCGUUUUCGAAGGGGUGUGUAUCAACAAAUUAGAGGCAGGUCGAGAGAGGGAAAGACUGUCGAUGGAAAUAAAAUUUUAAUACCAUCGUCCUUGCAGGAUUGAGACUUGAUCAGGCAAGGAUUCGGGGCUCUACCACCAGAAA